AGUACGACCGGCAAGGUUGAAACUCAAAGGGAAUUGACGGGGCCCCGCACAAGCGGUUGGAGUAAUGUGGUUUAAUUCGACGCAACGCGAAGAACCCUUACCAGGUCUUGACAUUGAUGGACAGAACUAGAGAUAGUUCCUCUUCUUCGGAAGCCAGAAAACAGGUGGUGCACGGUUGUCGUCAGCUCGUGUCGUGAGAUGUUGGGUUAAGUCCCGCAACGAGCGCAACCCCUAUCUUAUGUUGCCAGCACUUCGGGUGGGAACUCAUGAGAGACUGCCGCAGACAAUGCGGAGGAAGGCGGGGAUGACGUCAAAUCAUCAUGCCCCUUAUGACCUGGGCUACACACGUACUACAAUGGGAGUUAAUAGACGGAAGCGAAACCGCGAGGUGGAGCAAACCCGAGAAACACUCUCUCAGUUCGGAUCGUAGGCUGCAACUCGCCUACGUGAAGUCGGAAUCGCUAGUAAUCGCAGGUCAGCAUACUGCGGUGAAUACGUUCCCGGGCCUUGUACACACCGCCCGUCACACCACGAAAGUCGGAAGUGCCCAAAGCCGGUGGGGUAACCUUCGGGAGCCAGCCGUCUAAGGUAAAGUCGAUGAUGGGGUGAAGGU
rnacentral:rRNA from 1 species